GAUGAACGCUGGCGGCGUGCUUAACACAUGCAAGUCGAACGGAAAGGCUCCUGCUUGCAGGGGUACUCGAGUGGCGAACGGGUGAGUAACACGUGGGUGAUCUGCCCUUCACUUCGGGAUAAGCCUAGGAAACUGGGUCUAAUACCGGAUAGGACGUUGGUUUGGAUGCCAUUGUGUAAAGUUUUUUCGGUGUGGGAUGAGCUCGCGGCUUAUCAGCUUGUUGGUGGGGUAAUGGCGUACCAAGGCGUCGACGGGUAGCCGGCCUGAGAGGGUGUACGGCCACAUUGGGACUGAGAUACGGCCCAGACUCCUACGGGAGGCAGCAGUGGGGAAUAUUGCACAAUGGGCGGAAGCCUGAUGCAGCAACGCCGCGUGCGGGAUGACGGCCUUCGGGUUGUAAACCGCUUUCGCUAGGGACGAAGCGUAAGUGACGGUAACGGGUGAAGAAGCACCGGCUAACUACGUG
rnacentral:rRNA from 1 species